rnacentral:rRNA from 1 species
GACGAACGCUGGCGGCGUGCCUAAUACAUGCAAGUAGAACGCACAGUUUAUACCGUAGCUUGCUACACCAUAGACUGUGAGUUGCGAACGGGUGAGUAACGCGUAGGUAACCUGCCUGGUAGCGGGGGAUAACUAUUGGAAACGAUAGCUAAUACCGCAUAAUAUUGAUUAUUGCAUGAUAAUUGAUUGAAAGAUGCUAUUGCAUCACUACCAGAUGGACCUGCGUUGUAUUAGCUAGUAGGUGAGGUAACGGCUCACCUAGGCGACGAUACAUAGCCGACCUGAGAGGGUGAUCGGCCACACUGGGACUGCGACACGGCCCAGACUCCUACGGGAGGCAGCAGUAGGGAAUCUUCGGCAAUGGACGAAAGUCUGACCGAGCAACGCCGCGUGAGUGAAGAAGGUUUUCGGAUCGUAAAGCUCUGUUGUAAGAGAAGAACGGGUGUGAGAGUGGAAAGUUCACACUGUGACGGUAUCUUACCAGAAAGGGACGGCUAACUACGUG